AGAGCGAACGCUGGCGGCAGGCCUAACACAUGCAAGUCGAGCGAACUCUUCGGAGUUAGUGGCGGACGGGUGAGUAACACGUGGGAACGUGCCUUUUGGUUCGGAAUAACUCAGGGAAACUUGUGCUAAUACCGAAUGUGCCCUUCGGGGGAAAGAUUUAUCGCCAUUAGAGCGGCCCGCGUCUGAUUAGCUUGUUGGUGGGGUAAUGGCCCACCAAGGCUACGAUCAGUAGCUGGUCUGAGAGGAUGACCAGCCACAUUGGGACUGAGACACGGCCCAAACUCCUACGGGAGGCAGCAGUGGGGAAUCUUGCGCAAUGGGCGAAAGCCUGACGCAGCCAUGCCGCGUGUAUGAUGAAGGUCUUAGGAUUAGUAAAAUACUUUCACCGGUGAAGAUAAUGACUGUAGCCGGAGAAGAAGCCCCGGACUAACUUCGUGCCAGCAGCCGC
rnacentral:rRNA from 1 species